GAUGAACGCUGGCUACAGGCUUAACACAUGCAAGUCGAGGGGAAACGACGGGGAAGCUUGCUUCCCCGGGCGUCGACCGGCGCACGGGUGAGUAACGCGUAUCCAACCUGCCUCUGACUGAGGGAUAACCCGUCGAAAGUCGGCCUAAUACCUCAUGGCAUCGUCUGCGGGCAUCCAACGACGAUUAAAGAUUUCAUCGGUCAGAGAUGGGGAUGCGUCUGAUUAGCUUGUUGGCGGGGUAACGGCCCACCAAGGCGACGAUCAGUAGGGGUUCUGAGAGGAAGGUCCCCCACAUUGGAACUGAGACACGGUCCAAACUCCUACGGGAGGCAGCAGUGAGGAAUAUUGGUCAAUGGGCGAGAGCCUGAACCAGCCAAGUAGCGUGCAGGAUGACGGCCCUAUGGGUUGUAAACUGUUUUUAUGCGGGGAUAAAGUGAGGGACGUGUCCUUCAUUGCAGGUACCGCAUGAAUAAGGACCGGCUAAUUCCGUG
rnacentral:rRNA from 1 species